AAUGUCUACUUGAAUCGUGCAGUCAAAUCGUUCGUGCAAAAGGCCCCUCAGGACCCAAUAGAGAUUACCUCUUUCAACUUGAAAAAGCCCUUAGCCUCUUGGGAUGUGAAGAUAAACAUGUCAGUGACAUUGCAAAGGAAGCCAGGCGCAUUCUUUCAGAAGAAGUAACCAUCUCAUGAUCUUGCAGAUACCUUGAGCAUUGUCUGAAAAACAAAUGCCUUAAUUUAGUUCUCCAAGAUGUUGAGAAAUCUGUAUUACUAUGUCUAGACAUAUGACAGACACACAUUAUUCUUCUUUGCAACUGGGAGGGAAAAUAAUUGCUUUUCUAUGUCUAAGUUCCUUCAGAUUUCGUGCA